GAAAUUAAAUUUCUAAACUUCUAAUUUAGAUCCUAGUGAAUUUUCAUUAAAAUUUCU
rnacentral:tRNA from 1 species